GACGAACGCUGGCGGCGUGCCUAAUACAUGCAAGUCGAGCGAUCUUCUUCGGAAGAGAGCGGCGGACGGGUGAGUAACGCGUGGGUAACCUGCCCUGUACACACGGAUAACAUACCGAAAGGUAUGCUAAUACGAGAUAAUAUGCUUUUGUCGCAUGGUAGAAGUAUCAAAGCUUUUGCGGUACAGGAUGGACCCGCGUCUGAUUAGCUAGUUGGUAAGGUAACGGCUUACCAAGGCUACGAUCAGUAGCCGACCUGAGAGGGUGAUCGGCCACAUUGGAACUGAGACACGGUCCAAACUCCUACGGGAGGCAGCAGUGGGGAAUAUUGCACAAUGGGCGAAAGCCUGAUGCAGCAACGCCGCGUGAGCGAUGAAGGCCUUCGGGUCGUAAAGCUCUGUCCUCAAGGAAGAUAAUGACGGUACUUGAGGAGGAAGCCCCGGCUAACUACGUGCCAGCCGCCGCGGUAA
rnacentral:rRNA from 1 species